GCUCUUCUUAAAAUUGAAGGUGUUUAUGCUCGAGAUGAAACUGAGUUCUAUCUAGGCAAGAGAUGUGCUUAUGUGUACAAGGCAAAGAACAACACAGUGACUCCUGGUGGCAAACCGAA